UACGUAGGGUGCGAGCGUUAAUCGGAAUUACUGGGCGUAAAGCGUGCGCAGGCGGUUAUGUAAGACAGUUGUGAAAUCCCCGGGCUCAACCUGGGAAUUGCAUCUGUGACUGCAUAGCUAGAGUCCGGAAGAGGAGAGUGGAAUUCCCGGUGUAGCGGUGAAAUGCGCAGAUAUCGGGAAGAACACCCGUGGCGAAGGCGGCUCUCUGGGACGGUACUGACGCUGAGAGACGAAAGCUAGGGGAGCGGAACUGGGA
rnacentral:rRNA from 1 species